UACGUAGGGUGCGAGCGUUGUCCGGAAUUACUGGGCGUAAAGGGCGCGUAGGCGGCCUUCUAAGUCGAACGUGAAAUCCCCGGGCUCAACCCGGGAACUGCGUCCGAUACUGGAAGGCUUGAAUCCGGGAGAGGGAUGCGGAAUUCCAGGUGUAGCGGUGAAAUGCGUAGAUAUCUGGAGGAACACCGGUGGCGAAGGCGGCAUCCUGGACCGGCAUUGACGCUGAGGCGCGAAAGCCAGGGGAGCAAACGGG
rnacentral:rRNA from 1 species